rnacentral:tRNA from 1 species
GUAAGAAUGCCAGAUAAAAUUGGGAGUGGCUUAGGUUCAUUUUAUGACAUUUAGUCUUCUUGCU